UGUUAUUUGGAAACCUAUUUUUGGAAAUUGGAAUUAUGGAUUGUACAUGUACCUCCCCUUGGAUACGAUGGAUAUUUGGAUACAUUCGACACGCGGUAACUCUUCAGAGGUGUGUCGGGACCCAGGCACCCUUGAGAGGGUGUACUGUAGAGCCAUUGACGGGAUGUCUGUGAGUGUAAGACCUAUUUCAGGACUGCAAACCCGGUUGGACUGUUCAACCCUAGUCACGAGGUAAUGUGAUGCUAUCCCAUGGUCCAGCCAAACAAUCCCCCCAUUGGAUUGUUUCUCCGAUACUUAAUGACGGUGUGGUGAAUGUGUGUGUGUGUAUA
rnacentral:lncRNA from 1 species